CGAAAAAUGGAUUAGCCACAGAUUGUGUAACCAAAACUAAUGAAUUCUAUUGGGUUUGAAACAGUAGGAAGUAAGUUACAAUGCGUUACAUUGCAUAUUAGGACGAGAUUAUUUAUUAAUACAGUAACAUAGGCGCUUAUUCCACAUUCUUUGUUACACUAUUCAAACACCAAGAUGCAGUACGCUCAAAUUCUAAGUUGCCUGAUUAUAUACAUCCUGCACACCGUUCUCGGAAAAAAACACUAUGAUCCCAAAAACCCAGUAAUUCUGUUCACAACUUAACCAGUUAUUUGAUUUCCAUAGUGAGAGUAGAGGAAACCUAAUACCUAUUUAAAGACGACAAAUGAAGAUUCCUGGAAAUAACUAAGAACUACUUAUGAAAAACAUGUUUUUUUCAGUUUUACGAGUAAUAAAAAGUCUUUUUGCAGAUUACUUCUACAGAAAUGGUUUAAGUUGAUCAAUUAGAAAUUGAUGAAGCUUACUCUUUAGAAUAUUUUAUAGAGUCAAUGGUAAAGGAUGUCUUUAAAGUCCUCGUUGAGAUUAACUAAAAUCAUAAAUCUUAAUGGGUUCAUUAAAACGAAAGAUAGACAAAAUUAAAACUGAAAACUCAAAUAUUACAAAUAUAACACUAAACGUUUUAUAAGAUCUUAAAUCUGAUCUGAGAUCUGAGCUUAAAAAUCGUCUUUAAGCUCUCAGAAAUCAUUAAAAUUCACCCAUAUCUCAAAAAUUAUUUUACCGAUUCGCUUGAAAUUGUUCGGGAAUCAAAUUUAUCUAUAUUUAAUCUUUUUGUUAAGCCCAUGUGGGUAUAAAAGACCCUUAAAUCAGAUUGAAACGCAGCUUACUAAGCUAAGGAUACAUUUUGAUUUCAAAACAACACAAGAUAUCAGUAAAUUGUAUGCGGAAAUAAAUGUAUAAGUGAUAGUAUAACCAUAACGAAUUGAUUGUUUUAUGUUUAUUAGAGUCGUGUUCAAUUUUUCUAGAAAUGGUUAAAAAACGUCACAUCAACUUAAAAAGCUUAUCUGAAUUUCUAUUUAAAUAUUUGCAAUCGUUAAUUUUUUCUUAGUCUUCAAUUCGAUUGUCAAGUAUCAAGAUGCAGAUCGGUCUAAAUUUGGUUUGCCUUUUCAUAUUCAGUGUUCUGAGUGGUAAUUUUAGCAUUAAACCCAUAGUAAAUGUAGUUUUGGAAAACGUUGGCUAGUACCUUAAUUCCCCCAAAGACUUCUAAGACAAGAUGGGAACAGUUCUGGUUUUAGAUAAAAUAACAAGUUCUUAAAAGUAAAAAUGGCAAAGAAUAUGUAGCUUUUUUUUGAACCAAUAAAAAAUAUUCCUAAUAAGCAACACCAAA